GACGAACCACACGAACGUUAUUCGGAAUUACUGGGCUUAAAGGGUGCGUAGGCGGCGUGGCAAGUUGGGUGUGAAAUACCUCGGCUCAACCGAGGAAUGGCGCUCAAAACUGCCGCGCUUGAGGGAGAUAGAGGUGAGCGGAACUUAAGGUGGAGCGGUGAAAUGCGUUGAUAUCUUAAGGAACACCCGUGGCGAAAGCGGCUCACUGGAUCUCUUCUGACGCUCAGGCACGAAAGCCAGGGGAGCGAACGGG
rnacentral:rRNA from 1 species